CAACCACAUCCAAUCAUUCAACCUGAUGACCCUCCAAAGUCGGUUGUUAUGUGGAAUUUCAGCAAGUCUGAAUUUGGUCCUUAGCGCUCCGAAGAACUAUGAAUCAUCCCCCUCAGUGUUUUUCCUGCCUCAUGCACAAGGAUCGAGAUGAACAGCGCAUUAUAAACAACUGGACGGUCAGUUUUUUUUCGGGAUUGAAUGAGAUGAAGAAAAAAAAGACCAAAAAAAGAAAGAAAAGUAGCAGAAGGCAGCGGUAACAACUUGUGAUGGUAGAUUACGCGUUCUUUUCAAAGCAGUGCUUCAGUAUGAUAGAAGUGAAAACGAUCGCGCAACAAUUUACAAGGUAGAAAGACGCCAAGAACCUCUAAAAUCUUUAUGACUACGGCAGUUGCUCUCAUCGCAAGUUCAAUGUGGCAGCUACGAUCAUCGGUAUUGAGCUGCACAAAUCAGCCUUCAUUCUUGGAGAGUAGAUGCCUUCCAGAUCAUC
rnacentral:lncRNA from 1 species